rnacentral:lncRNA from 1 species
UGGCAAAAUCUUAUGAGGAGAGAAAAAAGGAAAAGGUGACUUGAUGCGAUGCAAUGACUAACGAACGCAACUGAUGGAUGGCCAAUGCGACGAUGAUGACGCGACAAUAGUGCAAAAAUUAGAGGCACGCCAUGGCACACUGCUUAACCACCACCCACCCGACGGCGCACGGCCCCCAAAGGGUGAUUCCCACUGCCCGAGGGCAGUGCGUGGUGCCCAAGCCUACCGCGCGCGUAGGCCUACUACGCACUCAUCUGCGCACAUGCAGAGUGUGAGGUUU